AAAUGUAAAAUAUUGACAUUUUUUAGUGACUAUGGUUUUACACUUUGUUUUCUUUCAAAUUACCAGGGAGCCUAAAUAAUUGGAAGUGGCCAAGGCAGGCUCUUAGUGUCUAAGGGCCCUGUUUUGCACACUCACUGAUCAGGAAAAGGUGAUAAAUACCUGAAAGACUUCUGAUGCUUCUCAUAGCCCUGUAAUAUAGCCUCUUGUAAACAGAAUUUAAGCCAUGUAUCGGGAUAUACUGUGAUUGCAGAAAUGGUAACAAACAUCAUUAAACUGAGAAAGGAGACUCAUCUAAGCAACUGAGAAGAAGAGUGGAAAAGAAUGAAAUAAAAGAAACAACUGUCAUCCAAUAUGUUAACCUCAAAUAUGAGAAAAUUAAUAUUUAUAAUGAAUAAAGAACAAAUAUAUUUGUGUGAG